rnacentral:rRNA from 2 species
GAGUGGCGAACUGGUGAGUAACACGUGGGAAACCUGCCCAGAAGCGGGGGAUAACACCUGGAAACAGAUGCUAAUACCGCAUAACAACUUGGACCGCAUGGUCCGAGCUUGAAAGAUGGCUUCGGCUAUCACUUUUGGAUGGUCCCGCGGCGUAUUAGCUAGAUGGUGGGGUAACGGCUCACCAUGGCAAUGAUACGUAGCCGACCUGAGAGGGUAAUCGGCCACAUUGGGACUGAGACACGGCCCAAACUCCUACGGGAGGCAGCAGUAGGGAAUCUUCCACAAUGGACGAAAGUCUGAUGGAGCAACGCCGCGUGAGUGAAGAAGGGUUUCGGCUCGUAAAACUCUGUUGUUAAAGAAGAACAUAUCUGAGAGUAACUGUUCAGGUAUUGACGGUAUUUAACCAGAAAGCCACGGCUAACUACGUGCCAGCAGCCGCGGUAAUACGUAGGUGGCAAGCGUUGUCCGGAUUUAUUGGGCGUAAAGCGAGCGCAGGCGGUUUUUUAAGUCUGAUGUGAAAGCCUUCGGCUCAACCGAAGAAGUGCAUCGGAAACUGGGAAACUUGAGUGCAGAAGAGGACAGUGGAACUCCAUGUGUAGCGGUGAAAUGCGUAGAUAUAUGGAAGAACACCAGUGGCGAAGGCGGCUGUCUGGUCUGUAACUGACGCUGAGGCUCGAAAGUAUGGGUAGCAAACAGGAUUAGAUACCCUGGUAGUCCAUACCGUAAACGAUGAAUGCUAAGUGUUGGAGGGUUUCCGCCCUUCAGUGCUGCAGCUAACGCAUUAAGCAUUCCGCCUGGGGAGUACGGCCGCAAGGCUGAAACUCAAAGGAAUUGACGGGGGCCCGCACAAGCGGUGGAGCAUGUGGUUUAAUUCGAAGCUACGCGAAGAACCUUACCAGGUCUUGACAUACUAUGCAAAUCUAAGAGAUUAGACGUUCCCUUCGGGGACAUGGAUACAGGUGGUGCAUGGUUGUCGUCAGCUCGUGUCGUGAGAUGUUGGGUUAAGUCCCGCAACGAGCGCAACCCUUAUUAUCAGUUGCCAGCAUUAAGUUGGGCACUCUGGUGAGACUGCCGGUGACAAACCGGAGGAAGGUGGGGAUGACGUCAAAUCAUCAUGCCCCUUAUGACCUGGGCUACACACGUGCUACAAUGGAUGGUACAACGAGUUGCGAACUCGCGAGAGUAAGCUAAUCUCUUAAAGCCAUUCUCAGUUCGGAUUGUAGGCUGCAACUCGCCUACAUGAAGUCGGAAUCGCUAGUAAUCGCGGAUCAGCAUGCCGCGGUGAAUACGUUCCCGGGCCUUGUACACACCGCCCGUCACACCAUGAGAGUUUGUAACACCCAAAGUCGGUGGGGUAACCUUUUAGGAACCAGCCGCCUAA